rnacentral:sRNA from 1 species
AUCAGAUCGAUCUAAGAUGGCGACUGUCGAACCGGAAACCACCCCUACUCCUAAUCCCCCGACUACAGAGGAGGAGAAAACGGAAUCUAAUCAGGAGGUUGCUAACCCAGAACACUAUAUUAAACAUCCCCUACAGAACAGAUGGGCACUCUGGUUUUUUAAAAAUGAUAAAAGCAAAACUUGGCAAGCAAACCUGCGGCUGAUCUCCAAGUUUGAUACUGUUGAAGACUUUUGGGCUCUGUACAACCAUAUCCAGUUGUCUAGUAAUUUAAUGCCUGGCUGUGACUACUCACUUUUUAAGGAUGGUAUUGAGCCUAUGUGGGAAGAUGAGAAAAACAAACGGGGAGGACGAUGGCUAAUUACAUUGAACAAACAGCAGAGACGAAGUGACCUCGAUCGCUUUUGGCUAGAGACAGUAAGGUUUUAAAAGUAUAAAGCAGUUUUAGAGGUAGUUUUGGAAUACUGAUACUUAAGAUAUGUUAUGUUUUACAUUAGUUACUUAAGAGAAGGAUGCCCAACACUAGAAAAUCAGGGUCAGUAAUUAUUUUUGUUCUGUCAUAUGACUCCUGUUUAUAGUACAGUGAAACAUCCUACCACAUUUUAAGUCAGAUAUUUUAAGUGAUUGGCAGUUGACUCUCACCACAAUAAGCUCACUGUGGUCAUUUCAUUAACCUCAAAAUUAUAGAACCUUACAUUUUGUAUGAUUGAAGUUUUUGCAACCCUCUUACAGCAUUGCUAUAUGUAUACUAAACUUUUAAAUAUUUAUAUUUUUAGAGCGAGGGUCUUGCUCUGUUGCCCAGGCUGGAGUGCGGAUAUUUAUUUAUAUGGCUCAUUUCAGCCUCACCCUCUGGGUUCAAGUGAUCCUCCCACUUCAGCCUCUUAAGUAGCUGGGACUACAGGUGCAUGCCACCAUGCCCAGCUAAUUUUCUAAUUUUUUUCCUAGAGAUGGGAUCUUGCUAUGUUGGUCUCAAACUUCUGGCCUCAAGUGAUCCUCCCACUUCAGCCUCCCAAAGUGCUGGAAUUACAGGUGUGAGUCACAGUGCCUGUCCCACUAAACUUUUUAGAUCAGUGAAGCAAAUAAUAAAAUUGUUGUGUACUACCAUUUGACCUACAUGUUGUGAUAUUAACUG